rnacentral:rRNA from 1 species
UACGUAGGGUGCAAGCGUUAAUCGGAAUUACUGGGCGUAAAGCGUGCGCAGGCGGUUGUGCAAGACAGAUGUGAAAUCCCCGGGCUUAACCUGGGAAUUGCAUUUGUGACUGCACGGCUAGAAUCUGGCAGAGGGGGGUAGAAUUCCACGUGUAGCAGUGAAAUGCGUAGAGAUGUGGAGGAAUACCGAUGGCGAAGGCAGCCCCCUGGGAUAAUAUUGACGCUCAUGCACGAAAGCGUGGGGAGCAAACAGG